CAUGGAAUGAACAAAGGCUGCUCU
rnacentral:piRNA from 1 species